GAUGAACGCUAGCGGCAGGCCUAACACAUGCAAGUCGAGGGAGAAGCCCUUCGGGGCAGAAACCGGCGCACGGGUGCGUAACGCGUAUGCAACCUACCUUUCACAGGGGGAUAGCCCGAAGAAAUUUGGAUUAAUACCCCAUAAUAUUAUUGGGUGGCAUCAUUUGAUAAUUAAAAUUACGAUGGUGAAAGAUGGGCAUGCGUCCUAUUAGCUAGUUGGAGUGGUAACGGCACCCCAAGGCUACGAUAGGUAGGGGUCCUGAGAGGGAGAUCCCCCACACUGGUACUGAGACAGGGACCAGACUCCUACGGGAGGCAGCAGUGAGGAAUAUUGGUCAAUGGUCGGAAGACUGAACCAGCCAUGCCGCGUGCAGGAAGAAUGCCUUAUGGGUUGUAAACUGCUUUUAUAUGGGAAGAAUAAGGAGUACGUGUACUUUGAUGACGGUACCAUAUGAAUAAGCAUCGGCA
rnacentral:rRNA from 1 species